CCUACGGGAGGCAGCAGUGAGGAAUAUUGGUCAAUGGGCGGAAGCCUGAACCAGCCAAGUCGCGUGAGGGAAUAAGGCCCUACGGGUCGUAAACCUCUUUUGCCGGGGAGCAAGGGCGGGGACGUGUCCCGGCCCGGAGAGUACCCGGAGAAAAAGCAUCGGCUAACUCCGUGCCAGCAGCCGCGGUAAUACGGAGGAUGCGAGCGUUAUCCGGAUUUGUUGGGUUUAAAGGGUGCGUAGGUGGGCUUUUAAGUCAGCGGUAAAAAUUCGGGGCUCAACCCCGUCCGGCCGUUGAAACUGGGGGCCUUGAGUGGGCGAGAAGAAGGCGGAAUGCGUGGUGUAGCGGUGAAAUGCAUAGAUAUUACACAGAACACCGAUUGCAAAGGCAGCUUGCUAGGCCGGAUCUGACACUGAUGCACGAAAGCGUGGAGAUCGAACAGGAUUAGAUACCCCUGUAGUC
rnacentral:rRNA from 1 species